AUGACAGCAGCUGUGAAUUCUUGCUGCUGUUGGGAUUUUGCUGUCUUAUUACUUGUAUUUUGGAAAUUGUCCACUAGAGUCAAUAUUUAGAUUGCUUUUUGGUUUUUUUUAAAUGUUCUUUCAAUGUCUUAUUAUCGCUGAGGUGGAGUGUUUCUAUGGCAUUAUUUGUUGUAUGACAGAAAGGUUGGGUUGAUUUCAAAUUAGGAAUAGCCACAAGCCACAUUCAUAUGGAUUCUUUUUCACCCAUUGCUGGUAAAGUGCAUUUAGGCACUAGGUGCAAAGCCCUAGGGUUGAGGUGCUUUCAAACCCUUGAGUGUACUGCCUUCACCCAGGUGCUAUGAGGUGCACACCUUAUUUGGGG
rnacentral:misc_RNA from 1 species